rnacentral:rRNA from 1 species
UACGGAGGGUGCAAGCGUUAUUCGGAAUUAUUGGGCGUAAAGAGCACGUAGGCGGCUAGUUAAGUCAGAUGUGAAAGCCCGGGGCUUAACCCCGGAAGUGCAUUUGAAACUAACUGGCUUGAGUAUGGGAGAGGGAAGUGGAAUUCCUGGUGUAGAGGUGAAAUUCGUAGAUAUCAGGAGGAACACCGGUGGCGAAGGCGACUUCCUGGACCAAUACUGACGCUGAGGUGCGAAAGCGUGGGGAGCAAACAGG